GAUGAACGCUGGCGGCGUGCCUAAUACAUGCAAGUCGAGCGAACAGACGAGGAGCUUGCUCCUCUGACGUUAGCGGCGGACGGGUGAGUAACACGUGGAUAACCUACCUAUAAGACUGGGAUAACUUCGGGAAACCGGAGCUAAUACCGGAUAAUAUAUUGAACCGCAUGGUUCAAUAGUGAAAGACGGUUUUGCUGUCACUUAUAGAUGGAUCCGCGUCGCAUUAGCUAGUUGGUAAGGUAACGGCUUACCAAGGCAACGAUGCGUAGCCGACCUGAGAGGGUGAUCGGCCACACUGGAACUGAGACACGGUCCAGACUCCUACGGGAGGCAGCAGUAGGGAAUCUUCCGCAAUGGGCGAAAGCCUGACGGAGCAACGCCGCGUGAGUGAUGAAGGUCUUCGGAUCGUAAAACUCUGUUAUUAGGGAAGAACAAAUGUGUAAGUAACUAUGCACGUCUUGACGGUACCUAAUCAGAAAGCCACGGUUAACUACGCG
rnacentral:rRNA from 1 species